AGUGAACGCUGGCGGUAGGCCUAACACAUGCAAGUCGAACGGCAGCACAGUAAGAGCUUGCUCUUACGGGUGGCGAGUGGCGGACGGGUGAGGAAUACAUCGGAAUCUACUUUUUCGUGGGGGUUAACGUAGGGAAACUUACGCUAAUACCGCAUACGACCUACGGGUGAAAGCAGGGGAUCUUCGGACCUUGCGCGAUUGAAUGAGCCGAUGUCGGAUUAGCUAGUUGGCGGGGUAAAGGACCACCAAGGCGACGAUCCGUAGCUGGUCUGAGAGGAUGAUCAGCCACACUGGAACUGAGACACGGUCCAGACUCCUACGGGAGGCAGCAGUGGGGAAUAUUGGACAAUGGGCGGAAGCCUGAUCCAGCCAUACCGCGUGGGUGAAGAAGGCCUUCGGGUUGUAAAGCCCUUUUGUUGGGAAAGAAAAGCAGCAGGUUAAUACCCCGCUGUUCUGACGGUACCCAAAGAAUAAGCACCGGCUAACUUCGUG
rnacentral:rRNA from 1 species